ACGCUCGACACCUACGGGAGCAGCAGUAGGGAAUCUUCCACAAUGGGCGCAAGCCUGAUGGAGCAACACCGCGUGAGUGAAGAAGGGUUUCGGCUCGUAAAGCUCUGUUGUUGGAGAAGAACGUGCGUGAGAGUAACUGUUCACGCAGUGACGGUAUCCAACCAGAAAGUCACGGCUAACUACGUGCCAAGCAGCCGACGGUAAUCUGAGGCGGGCUGGACAAGGC
rnacentral:rRNA from 1 species